AGGAUUGUGAUGGAGGAUAGUGAUCAAUCUAUUCGAGAUCGGUGCACGGUUCACCUCUUAUGGGCAGAUGAGUCUUGGGUCUGCAGUAUAGGGAUACUGGGGUGAGGGUGCAGAUGGUUGUUAGAGAACAACUUGUACUAAACAUGACCAACAUGAGAAAUCACUUGGAUGUCUACUCACUCAUCAGUGGUUGACUCGAUGCUGCAGUGGUGUGAUUGGUCCUUUGA
rnacentral:lncRNA from 1 species